rnacentral:misc_RNA from 1 species
CCAAUAUUUUUACUAUUUUACAACUUAUUCCAUAAAUGAAACUGACGGGCAAUUUGUACACUUUUCAAAACUAAUUUCAAUUUAAUCAAUUUUAUUAAAUUUACUAUUAAAUCCUCUUUCAAAUUAAUUUUUAAAAUUAGUCAUUAAAAUUAAAUUAUAUGGCGGCUUUUCAUUCUUAUUAGAGAAAUUUGUAGUUUAAUUUGAUAGUCCAUGAUAAGAUUUACUUGAAUU